rnacentral:rRNA from 1 species
GAUACAGGGUGACAGCCCCGUACACAAAAAUGCACAUAUUGUGAGCUCGAUGAGUAGGGCGGGACACGUGGUAUCCUGUCUGAAUAUGGGGGGACCAUCCUCCAAGGCUAAAUACUCCUGACUGACCGAUAGUGAACCAGUACCGUGAGGGAAAGGCGAAAAGAACCCCGGCGAGGGGAGUGAAAAAGAACCUGAAACCGUGUACGUACAAGCAGUGGGAGCCUCUUUAUGGGGUGACUGCGUACCUUUUGUAUAAUGGGUCAGCGACUUAUAUUCUGUAGCAAGGUUAACCGAAUAGGGGAGCCGAAGGGAAACCGAGUCUUAACUGGGCGUUAAGUUGCAGGGUAUAGACCCGAAACCCGGUGAUCUAGCCAUGGGCAGGUUGAAGGUUGGGUAACACUAACUGGAGGACCGAACCGACUAAUGUUGAAAAAUUAGCGGAUGACUUGUGGCUGGGGGUGAAAGGCCAAUCAAACCGGGAGAUAGCUGGUUCUCCCCGAAAGCUAUUUAGGUAGCGCCUCGUGAAUUCAUCUCCGGGGGUAGAGCACUGUUUCGGCAAGGGGGUCAUCCCGACUUACCAACCCGAUGCAAACUGCGAAUACCGGAGAAUGUUAUCACGGGAGACACACGGCGGGUGCUAACGUCCGUCGUGAAGAGGGAAACAACCCAGACCGCCAGCUAAGGUCCCAAAGUCAUGGUUAAGUGGGAAACGAUGUGGGAAGGCCCAGACAGCCAGGAUGUUGGCUUAGAAGCAGCCAUCAUUUAAAGAAAGCGUAAUAGCUCACUGGUCGAGUCGGCCUGCGCGGAAGAUGUAACGGGGCUAAACCAUGCACCGAAGCUGCGGCAGCGACACUAUGUGUUGUUGGGUAGGGGAGCGUUCUGUAAGCCUGUGAAGGUGGCCUGUGAGGGUUGCUGGAGGUAUCAGAAGUGCGAAUGCUGACAUAAGUAACGAUAAAGCGGGUGAAAAGCCCGCUCGCCGGAAGACCAAGGGUUCCUGUCCAACGUUAAUCGGGGCAGGGUGAGUCGACCCCUAAGGCGAGGCCGAAAGGCGUAGUCGAUGGGAAACAGGUUAAUAUUCCUGUACUUGGUGUUACUGCGAAGGGGGGACGGAGAAGGCUAUGUUGGCCGGGCGACGGUUGUCCCGGUUUAAGCGUGUAGGCUGGUUUUCCAGGCAAAUCCGGAAAACCAAGGCUGAGGCGUGAUGACGAGGCACUACGGUGCUGAAGCGACAAAUGCCCUGCUUCCAGGAAAAGCCUCUAAGCAUCAGGUAACAUCAAAUCGUACCCCAAACCGACACAGGUGGUCAGGUAGAGAAUACCAAGGCGCUUGAGAGAACUCGGGUGAAGGAACUAGGCAAAAUGGUGCCGUAACUUCGGGAGAAGGCACGCUGAUAUGUAGGUGAAGCGACUUGCUCGUGGAGCUGAAAUCAGUCGAAGAUACCAGCUGGCUGCAACUGUUUAUUAAAAACACAGCACUGUGCAAACACGAAAGUGGACGUAUACGGUGUGACGCCUGCCCGGUGCCGGAAGGUUAAUUGAUGGGGUUAGCGGUAACGCGAAGCUCUUGAUCGAAGCCCCGGUAAACGGCGGCCGUAACUAUAACGGUCCUAAGGUAGCGAAAUUCCUUGUCGGGUAAGUUCCGACCUGCACGAAUGGCGUAAUGAUGGCCAGGCUGUCUCCACCCGAGACUCAGUGAAAUUGAACUCGCUGUGAAGAUGCAGUGUACCCGCGGCAAGACGGAAAGACCCCGUGAACCUUUACUAUAGCUUGACACUGAACAUUGAGCCUUGAUGUGUAGGAUAGGUGGGAGGCUUUGAAGUGUGGACGCCAGUCUGCAUGGAGCCGACCUUGAAAUACCACCCUUUAAUGUUUGAUGUUCUAACGUUGGCCCGUAAUCCGGGUUGCGGACAGUGUCUGGUGGGUAGUUUGACUGGGGCGGUCUCCUCCUAAAGAGUAACGGAGGAGCACGAAGGUUGGCUAAUCCUGGUCGGACAUCAGGAGGUUAGUGCAAUGGCAUAAGCCAGCUUGACUGCGAGCGUGACGGCGCGAGCAGGUGCGAAAGCAGGUCAUAGUGAUCCGGUGGUUCUGAAUGGAAGGGCCAUCGCUCAACGGAUAAAAGGUACUCCGGGGAUAACAGGCUGAUACCGCCCAAGAGUUCAUAUCGACGGCGGUGUUUGGCACCUCGAUGUCGGCUCAUCACAUCCUGGGGCUGAAGUAGGUCCCAAGGGUAUGGCUGUUCGCCAUUUAAAGUGGUACGCGAGCUGGGUUUAGAACGUCGUGAGACAGUUCGGUCCCUAUCUGCCGUGGGCGCUGGAGAACUGAGGGGGGCUGCUCCUAGUACGAGAGGACCGGAGUGGACGCAUCACUGGUGUUCGGGUUGUCAUGCCAAUGGCACUGCCCGGUAGCUAAAUGCGGAAGAGAUAAGUGCUGAAAGCAUCUAAGCACGAAACUUGCCCCGAGAUGAGUUCUCCCUGACUCCUUGAGAGUCCUGAAGGAACGUUGAAGACGACGACGUUGAUAGGCCGGGUGUGUAAGCGCAGCGAUGCGUUGAGCUAACCGGUACUAAUGAACCGUGAGG